rnacentral:rRNA from 1 species
GAUGAACGCUGGCGGCGUGCCUAAUACAUGCAAGUCGAGCGAACAGACGAGGAGCUUGCUCCUCUGACGUUAGCGGCGGACGGGUGAGUAACACGUGGAUAACCUCCCUAUAAGACUGGGAUAACUUCGGGAAACCGGAGCUAAUACCGGAUAAUAUAUUGAACCGCAUGGUUCAAUAGUGAAAGACGGUUUUGCUGUCACUUAUAGAUGGAUCCGGCCCGCAUUAGCUGGUUGGUAAGGUAACUGCUUACCAAGGCAACGAUGCAUACCCGACUUCUGAGGGUGAUCAGCCCUGAUACAAAUGAGAUCCCGACCAGUCUGCUUCGGGAGUCAGCAAUUGGGAAUAUCACGCAAUUGGCGAAGGCGUGAAGGAGCAACGGCGCGGGAGUGAUGAAGGACGUCGGUACGUAAGACUCUGUUAUUAGUGAAGAACGAAGGUGUAAGUAAAUAUGCACGUCUUGACGGUACCUAAUCAGAAAGACACGGCUAACUACGUG